UCAUCUUUCAUAAGUUACAACUUAAAAACAUCAUCAUUACGCUGAACAUGUGUUAUGAACCCCACCCCCCUCCUGGAUUUGGAUUUUCCCCCACACCUAUACACGCUUGUUGUGUUUGCAUGUCUUUUGUUUCGUUCUGCUGAGAAAACUGAGGAACCUAAACUCACUCUUACUUUGAAGGAAGCUGGCAGUAAUGAUGUGAAGAGGAGGAGAUUAGAACCCUGUACAGCUCAGACUGAACAGAGACCAGCAUACAGCCUUCAGAAGAGCAGCUGCAGUUCAGCCUUUAAACCUGCCUGUUUCUGUGAUCAUGAUGUUCUUCAUGAUGUUCAUGUUGUCUGUUAAAGGUAACAGAGCUGCAGAUGUAAUCACUCCAUAUACUGCAGCUGUGUUCACCAAUGAGGGUGAAAGUGUUACACUCUCUUGUAAUUACAGCGGUUCUGUUAGCAAUCUUUACUGGUAUCUCCAGAAUUCAGCAUCACCUCCUCAGUUCCUCAUAGCAGACUAUUCACCUCCUGUUACUGGAAUAUCAGUCAAACACAGAAAAGAAGCCACCAGUGUGGAUCUGAUCAUCUCCUCUGCUGCAGUAUCAGACUCUGCACUCUACUACUGUGCCCUGUUAGGAGACACAUCAGCACAGAAAAUUACGCCACUUACAGAAGAAGUGCAGGUUUCAGAGGGUGAUAAUGUUACUCUCUCCUGCACCUACAGUAGCAGCAGCACUAAUGAUGCUCUUCAGUGGUAUCGUCAGUUUCCCAGAUCCACACCAGAGUUUCUCCUGUACAUUUACCCUCAAGGGGGUAUGAGUGAUCCUCUUCCUCCUCGCAUGUCUGCUGAAGUUGAAAGGAAUAAACAUAUAGCAGAGUGA